rnacentral:tRNA from 1 species
GGAUCGUUAGCUCAACGGUAGAGCGCCAGAUUGAAGCUCUGGGCGUAGGUGGUUCGACUCCAUCAUGAUCCA